rnacentral:tRNA from 2 species
UGGCAGAAUAGUCAAGCGGCAACGACAGGUGACUGUAAAUCACCCCUCAUUCGAGUUCGUAGGUUCGAGUCCUGCUUCUGCUAUAUU